GCACAAGGCAGGCUGGAUUCGGAUCGUUUGUAAAAGAUGAGGCUGAACACAUGUCUGCCUUCUCGCCUGUCGUUCUCCGACUCUGCGUGACUCAAGAAGACGCUUCACUCUAGACCAGAUGGCGUCCACAUCCUGCUGGUCUUUCAGAGACUGUACUCGGCACACAGGUUAUUAGUGAAAUUUGAG